GUUUUGAAGCAGUGGGUGUUUGACUUCAGAGUUGUCUUCCUGGAGGGGCUGACACCAGACUUGGCGGAGGAGAAAGACAGUAUCAAUUGUUUCUGGAUGGCUGCCUGGACAAGGGAAUUCAUCUUUUGAGAGAUAAAGUGGAAUAUGAAGGAAGCAUCUGCGAGUUGGAUACAUGGAGUGCAGCUUCAGCAGAGAGGGGAGAGAUUGAGACAAGGUCUUACUUCAUCACCCAGCUUGGAGUUCAGUGGCAUAAUUGCAGCUCACUGCAACCUUCACCUUCCAGGUUCAAGUGGUCUUCCCACCUCAGGCUCCCAAAUAUCUGGGACCACAGGAGGAAAUCUCUUCACUGCUGCUGCUGACAAUAGAAGACUGAGGGUGUCCGGGAUCCUUUGCCCUCACGUCCAGUGAGUCCACAGAAACUACAGUGAUUGGGAUCGUGUCUGGUAAGAUUAUUUCCUUCCUGUUGGAUACUGGUGUGAGCCUAUUGUAACUGAAUAUCAAUUCCCAUUAGAACACUCAUCUGUUUCUGUUGUUGGCUUGAAAGGCAUACAAGUAACCCCAUACAAAACACUGCCACUAUACUGCACAUUUGAGGGAAUCACCCCCACUCACUCUCUCUUGGUCAUUCCCCACUGUCCCAUUCCUUUACUAGGAAGGGACAUCUUACACAAACUAGGGGGAAUCAUUUAUUUAUUAGCCCUACAUCGAAGCCACCCAUACUUAUUAUUACGUCAAGAACAAAACCCCUCCUCAGAAACUCCACGGCAAAUUGACUUAAAUCCCAAAUUCCUCAGCCAGCUAAAUCCCCUUGUAUGGAAGACUGACUCCUCCAUAAUAGCUACUCUUCAUUCUCCAAAUCAAAUUUCACUGAAGGACUCUAAGUGCUACAUAGUGGUCCCAUCAUAUCCCCUCAACCCUAAUGGAUUAUGGGGAAUCAAGCCCAUCAUCUCCUGACUUUUGGCCGUCAAUAUUUUAAUCCCCAUCCAUUCUCCACACAUUACCCCUAUUCUCC
rnacentral:lncRNA from 13 species